ensembl:miRNA
UUGCAGACUGUGCAUCUAUCUAACUGUGAAUUUGUUUUGUUUAGAGUGCACUGUCUCAAACU